UUAUUUAAUGACGCAUCUUUAUUCCCCUUGCCGCAAAGGUGAAUGAUUUGGUAUUUUUCGAGCAAUGCCGACAAGUUACUACGAAGUGCAUCGUUAAUUACCACCGACCCUAAACUGCCGCCCAUAACAAGUAGUACUUUUUUGUCCGAAGUAAAAU
rnacentral:ncRNA from 1 species